CUGCAGUUGAUGUUUUACAGUAAGCCAGGUGAAGAACACUGCAGGUGAUGUUUUACAGUAAGCCAGGUGAGGAACACUGCAGUGAUGUUUUACAGUAAGCAAGGUGAGGAACACUGCAGUUGAUGUUUUACAGUAAGCCAAGUGAGGAACACUGCAGUUGAUGUUUUACAGUAAGCCAGGUGAGGAACACUGCAGUUGAUGUUUUACAGUAAGCCAGGUGAGGAACACUGCAGUUGAUGUUUUACAGUAAGCCAGGUGAGGAACACUGCAGUUGAUGUUUUACAGUAAGCCAGGUGAGGAACACUGCAGUUGAUGUUUUACAGUAAGCCAGGUGAGGAACACUGCAGGUGAUGUUUUACAGUAAGCCAGGUGAGGAACACUGCAGUUGAUGUUUUACAGUAAGCCAGGUGAGGAACACUGCAGUUGAUGUUUUACAGUAAGCCAGGUGAGGAACACUGCAGUUGAUGUUUUACAGUAAGCCAGGUGAGGAACACUGCAGUUGAUGUUUUACAGUAAGCCAGGUGAGGAACACUGCAGGUGAUGUUUUACAGUAAGCCAGGUGAGGAACACUGCAGUUGAUGUUUUACAGUAAGCCAGGUGAGGAACACUGCAGUUGAUGUUUUACAGUAAGCCAGGUGAGGAACACUGCAGUUGAUGUUUUACUGUAGUUUUUUCUUUUUUGUAUAGCUAAUUAUUUUUGCUUUGAUUCAAUGAAACCUUUGUUGUGAUUUUAUUGUAUUUCAUCAAUAAAUGUCAGAUUUUGUUCAAUGA